GUUAUAAAUAGGUGAGUGCUGAACACUUCAGCACUCACCUAUUUACAAAGAGAAAAAAAAAAUUGUAGAGAAAGAAAAAAAGUUAGACUUAUAAUUGAAUUUUAGUGGGUUAUCUCGUAAAAAAAAGAUUAGUGAAGUUUAGUGGAGUUUGACGGAUUGAUUUUUUCGGAUUUGGUUGAAGCGACGGAGUUUAUUUUGUGGAGCUAAUCGGAUAUUUUUCUGGAGCUAAACGUUAUUUUUCGGACUGCUAUUUUACGAGGUCUACAAGAGAGUAGUCACUGACGAUAUUUUACCAUGAUGGUGGCCUGGUCUUAAGAUAUGUCGAGUAAUGUCGAGGGUCAUUUACGUCAUCAUCUAUGAGGCCUUCAGACUCUUCUUCAAUCUCUGCAUGCACGAGUAAAGGCCUUCUGUAUUUUGCCAGCACAUAUAGUCCUUCCUAAAGAAGCCAGCCAAGAACCCAAAACAGAUAGAGUCAUCGAGGAAAAAGGAAUUGAACAAGAAAAGUCAACUUAGUUGCAUUGUAAAAAUUGUCUAAAAGCAUAUAAGAAAUUGAUCAAAGAUGCAAAUUUCAACAAGGAUUUACAUGUUACCAUGAGUGCCUCGACUGUGACACAAAGAAGGGCAAAUAGAACAAUUUUGGAUUCAACAUAGACCAAUAAAUUAUGAACACCGACUGCAGUUUAUUUGUAUGUAUCAAAUAGUGCCAGAGAAGUUGGACAAUGCACCAAAAAGGCGGACCUUGAUAUGACUGGCAUUGGUCAUUGGGAAGUCAUUAAUCCCGGAAGGACACAUAAAAGACUGCAAAGGAAGAAAGGAAAGUACUAAGAAUCAGUAAAAAAAAUAGAGAACACACAUUAAGAAAAGGUUGAUUCAGCAUGGGGUAAAUAUAAAAAAUCCACCACAGCAGAAAAUCACAAUAUCUUAUCCAACGGAAGUUUCCCAUUGAUAUAAUUGACAUAGGACAGGAUAUUUAUCAUGGAAACAUUUUAACAUUCAAUCAGGAAAAAUCUUGCAAGGUAUAGAUAUAAUGUUCUUUGCAUGCAUGAUGCAUCUUAUAAGUCGGAGACACAAAAUUUACGAUGGUUACCUUUAGACCAAGAACACCGGCACUUAGGAGAGCUUCCAGACAACUUGCAUUGAAAGCGUUUUCAGGAACUAGGCCUCCCCAGAAACCUAACGAAGUGGUGAUAAAUGAUAUACUUAGAAACACGUUCUUGAGAUAUUGUCAUCCUAAACACAGUUUCAGGAACAUACCAACAUCAACAUAUAUAUUUUUUUCUGCAGCCUCAAGCUAAUUCGUCAUGUCAAAAAAAUUAUAAAAAAAUAGUUAGUAAAUUCAAUGAGUACUAACAAGGAAUUUUUGACACUCAAUGGAUGUAUGCACUUUUUGUAUAGCAUGGACCAUAGAACGUGUAGGGAAAACAAAUCGCAUAUGAAAAGCAGGGUUUGAAUUUAAAA